UGAUCAUAUCAUAUUGAAACAAUGGUUCUCAUACAAUCAUCGAAGUUAAGCAACUUUGAGUCUAGUCAGUACCUAAAUGGGUGACCAUUUGGGAAUACCAGGUGCUGUAAG